rnacentral:rRNA from 1 species
UACGCAGGGGGCUAGCGUUGCUCGGAAUCACUGGGCGUAAAGGGCGCGUAGGCGGAUCUUUAAGUCAGGGGUGAAAUCCUGGAGCUCAACUCCAGAACUGCCUUUGAUACUGAAGAUCUUGAGUUCGGGAGAGGUGAGUGGAACUGCGAGUGUAGAGGUGAAAUUCGUAGAUAUUCGCAAGAACACCAGUGGCGAAGGCGGCUCACUGGCCCGAUACUGACGCUGAGGCACGAAAGCGUGGGGAGCAAACAGG